CACCGUAACCAAAAGAGAACUCUCUCUACAUGGAUACUUGGAAAGACUGAAAAGUGUUACAAGCUUUCUCUAAGCCUGGCUGGCCUUUAAGAUUCAGGACUUUUACAGCGGUCCCUCGGUUUUUCAGAUACAGAGUUUGUUUGUGUAGCCUUGGCUGUCCUCUGGAGACUAUAUUGGACUGUAAGUCAGAGAUAUACCUGCUGAAGUUAAAAGGUUUUUCUAAUAUAUAUUGUACCCAGAAAUAGCAGUGCAACCAAAAAAAUAGCACGGGAAUUUUCACAGAUGACUCCAGACCAAGGGUUAUGUUGGAUGAUUGAAGCACCAUAGCAGUGAUCUACAUCAUGCUGGUUUGUGUGUGUAUGUGUAUUUUAUUUUUCCUACCCAUGAUGCCUUUACAUAGCCCAGGCAGACUUCUUACUUGUGACUACUCAUUUCUCAGCAUCGCAAAUCCAGGUUUGGACCCUCAAACUCUUUCUGGGAAUGUUUGCUUUUGAUAUAUAAGGGCUCACCUGGGUUCACGUGCCUGCAAUCAGAACUGACAACAGUUCAUCCCAUCUUCACUAACAUCCUCAUGGCUGGUUUGAGCUCUGCUGAGACUCUUGGGAAAUUUUCAUCAUUACAUACAAAACUUCUCUUUGUUUGGACUCAUCCAAAACCUAUAAUAGUCUGAGGAUCUUCCCCACGGGCUUAUACGGUACAAGUGACCCAUGUUUCCUACUCUGUGUCUCCUGCCUAGAUUAUCAGCAUCUUUUAUAUCUCACUUUAUUAGUGUGUAUAUUCAGAGGAAAAGUACCAAUCCUGGGCAAUUUUGGAAAGUGGGCUUUGAACUCCACACAGAUAAGAAGUUUCUACCAGAGCAGAAAGUUAGAUCUCUGGCUUUGGAUGGAGGAGGUAUUCAAAGGAUCCCUGUGCCCCUGGAGUCUCCUCGAAAAGGCAACUUGGAUUUAUGUCAAUUUGAGGUAAGAUAGCACAGAGUCAAGGACUGUACAAUAUGACACCAGUAGUCCUCUUCAACAUUCUAUUAUAUCUAGGAGAGCAAUGGCAUCUCCUGUGAUGUCACCAGUGUUGUGACAACACCAAGUGCCAGUAUGGCAUUUGUUCAGUGCCUUCAUUGUUGACCCAUACACAAGUUUGCAAGACUGUGCAGCUAUUUCAGAGAGAGAAUGGAGAACAUAAAGAGACCAGAGAGAGGCACAAGGAAGCAGGCUUCAGUCUCAGUAUCAAACAUUGUAAAAUAAGUGGCUAUGGGGAAGGAACAGAGAGUUCUGGGUAGGAAAUGAAAGUAAGACAGUUCUGCUUCAUAGUUUUCCAAACGACAAUCAAAAGGAAUCUAAGAAACAGAAUUCACUCACAAUAAAACUUUACUGCUUGAUUUUUGGCAAAAAUCUUUGUUAGAAUGUUUUUGCUCUUGGCAUCAUCUGUGCUCCUUGUGAAUAAGUUUGGCAUUUAAUGUGCUCUUAACUGUAAGGAAAAUUUUCAAGUGACCAAACAUUUAAUAACACUUCUUAUACAAUAACAGACCAGGAUCAACAUCUUCAUUAACAGUGAAAGAAUAUACCAUUUAAAACUUUGUAUUGACCAUAUAUCACACUGAUGACUUACACUGAUGUUUUUCUACUUAAUGGUGUUCCAAUUCGAUAAAUUGUUAGAUUUACUGAAUUGUCUACAUAAUAUAAGAUUUUUAGCUUCUUUAACUGGGAUUAUAUUCCAGGGGAUGUUAACAGAAGUAAAUGAAACACAGUGCAUUGUAUAUGCAAUUGAAAAUCUGAGAUAAUAAAGGAAAGAACUGUGAGGGGGGAAUUCAUGAAAAAAUAUAUGUUAUUAAUCUUCCUUUUGUGCAAAAAUUAUAAUAUAGGCUAUUUUCCUUUACCAGUAUUUCAUAACACAAUUAACAAAUGGCAAAUAUAUCAUUCCACUUGCUAAAAUUAGAAAAGAAAUAGUCAUUUUUGCCUCUCUUAUUAUUUUCACCUGUUGGUCCAUAGCAAUGUUUUCUGAAAGUACUCUUUUUUUUAAAGAUUUAUUCAUUUAUUAUGUAUACAGUAUUCUGUCUGCAUGUAUGUCCACAGGCCAGA